rnacentral:sRNA from 1 species
UUAAAAUCAGGUUUAAUAAGUUCAUAUAAGUAUCUAAACCAAACCUAUCCUUAUUUUAAUAUUCAAGCUCAUCUAUGAUAGUUCAGGUAAUAAGCGGCAUCUAUGAUCUUGCCUAUUAGCCUAAGAUCAAGUUCUAGUUAGCUACUCUAGAACUAGCAUUAAGAAUAAUCAAACUGAAGAACUCUAAAGAUAAUCCUAACAUGUUAUCGAUCCACUAUACCAUCUAAAUCUCUAAUGCGAAAUCCUAAACCCAACAAGUAGAUUACUCAGACAUAAUCAUAGAAACAUAAAAAACAUGUUUGAAGAAGAUUGCGUAAAGAAAUUAAAAGAAGAAUAGAGUUAAGAAAAUAUCUUCUCUCUACAGGGUUUGAAAUCUCUGAUGAACUCUCCAAAGUCUCAGGGAAUUUCAGAGCAAAAAGAUAAAAAUUAGAAUAAUUGUGUUUGUAAAAGUUUAGGUCUAAACAAUGUUCAGGAAAGCGGAAUAGGCGGUCGUCUAGGCGUUCAUGUACCGCUUCGACUUUCUUAAAAUCGGUUUUAUUAGGCGGUAGGGUAGAUUUGGCGGACUAUGCGGACAUUAAGCGGAUUAAACGGUCAUUAGGCGGGUUUAGGCGGAUCUAAAUGUGUUUCAAUAAUAUUGGAAUUUUGAAAAAUAUAUUUAAAAUUGUAUAUAAAGACACAUUUACUUUUAUUAUUUUAUUUAUCUUACUUU